rnacentral:rRNA from 1 species
GACGAACGCUGGCGGCGUGCUUAACACAUGCAAGUCGAACGGAAAGGCCCCUUUGGGGGUACUCGAGUGGCGAACGGGUGCGUAACACGUGAGUAACCUUCCCUUGACUUCGGGAUAACUUCAGGAAACUGGGGCUAAUACCGGAUAGGAAUCCUUGCUGCAUGGUGGGGGUUGGAAAGCUUCGGCGGUUUUGGAUGGACUCGCGGCUUAUCAGCUUGUUGGUGGGGUAGUGGCUUACCAAGGCUUUGACGGGUAGCCGGCCUGAGAGGGCGACCGGCCACAUUGGGACUGAGAUACGGCCCAGACUCCUACGGGAGGCAGCAGUGGGGAAUAUUGCACAAUGGGCGGAAGCCUGAUGCAGCAACGCCGCGUGCGGGAUGACGGCCUUCGGGUUGUAAACCGCUUUCAGCAGGGGCGAAGCUUGUGGUGACGGUACCUGCAGAAGAAGCACCGGCUAACUACGUG